rnacentral:rRNA from 1 species
UACAGAGGUCCCAAGCGUUGUUCGGAUUCACUGGGCGUAAAGGGUGCGUAGGUGGUCGGGUAAGUCUGAUGUGAAAUCUCUGGGCUCAACCCAGAAAUGGCAUUGGAUACUAUUCGGCUAGAGGAGUGGAGGGGGGACUGGAAUACUUGGUGUAGCAGUGAAAUGCGUAGACAUCAAGUGGAACACCAGUGGCGAAGGCGAGUCCCUGGACACUUCCUGACACUGAGGCACGAAAGCUAGGGGAGCAAACAGG